rnacentral:lncRNA from 1 species
UCAAGUCGGCCGCAAACUAGCUCACAAUGCCUUUCCCUCGAGAAUCAACCUCCGCGAACGCCAAAUCUGGUCAAAACCAAUAGGAAUACGUCAAAAUAGGCUAAUGGAGCAUAACCCAAUCGAAAUAACUCGAAAUACACCCAAAAACACGAAGUUGGAAAAACCUGAGCCCACUUCUCGAAAAAUUCUAAAAUUUACAUUUUCAGAAUCCUCGUCUCGCCACGAGUCCAUACGUAUAAAUUUCAUCAAAAUCGGAGUCCAAUAGCUCCUCCAAAUCCCCAAUUUUUCAUUUGAAAUUUCAAGCCCUAGUUCUUCAAUCUUUUAUGCCCAAUUUCAGAGAAUUAAUGGAUGAUUCUUCGACUAAAUGACGUAUUAAGACCACGAGACUUACCUCCAAUUACUUCCCGUUGAAAUCCCCUUCAAAAUUCGUCAACAAGCUCUCAAGGUGGUGCAAAAAUGGAGGAAAUACGAAAUAGCUCGCGGAUGAAAUUUUUUAUAAAAACCUAACUGCCCAGCGAUUCCUUAUACACGAUUGCAGCCCCAGGCUUGCGAUCGCAGAGAACAAAAUUGAAGCUCCCAAAUUUACCCUUAUGUGAUCGUACCCAGCUCCACGCGAUCGCAUUACUCUGCCUCAUAUCCUUACGCGAACACGGUCCUUCCGACGCGAUCGCAGAGAACAAUGACUUCAACCUACGCGAUCACAUCUCCAACUAUGUGAUCGCAUUGAAGAAAUUACUGGGGCCCUGACCACCCUCCAAUGCGAUCGCAAUGUCAUAUGUGCGAUCGCAUAGAGUAAUUUUGCCUGCAACUGCUGUGCUAAAAUUCUGCAACUUUUCCAAAACUAAAAUCCUUCCGUUAGCCAUCCGAAAUCACCCUGAGGCCCACAGGACCUCAACCAUCACUUCCCGUCGAAAUCCCCUUCAAAAUCCGUCAACAAGCUUUCAAGUGGUGAAAAAAUGGAGAAAAUAUGAAAUAGCCCGCGGAUGAAAUUUCUAUUAAAACAGGUACGCCCAGAUGCACUUUACUCUUUGUGAUCGCGGUCACCACCAACGCAAGCGCGAUGCCGUAAAAUCGUAGGCCUGGAAUUUACCUUACGCGAACACGGUUCCCAGGCCGCGAAUGCGAUGCUUCAGAUGCCUCAACUACGCAAUCGCAACUCAACCCACGCGAUCGUGAAGCACCCAGAACCCAAUCCUACGUGAUCGCAGCUCGAUCCACGCGAUCGCGAAGGCCAAAUCUCUGCAACACCAACAGUUGAAAAUCUGCUACCUUUCCAAGCCAAAAAUCCUUCCGUUAACCAUCCGAAAUCCCCCCAAGGCCCCCGGGACCUCAAUCAAAAAAACCAACACGAUUAAUACCUCCUUCAAACUUGCUCGGGCCAUAAUAACACUAAUGUUAACACCAAAAAUCACCAAAAUCCUCAAAUUCAAGCCUAAGUACAACUAGAACUUUUCCAAAUUCGCAUUUGAUCCAAAACCCAACCUAAACACCUCCGAAUGAUAUAAAAAUUUGCACACAUAUCAAAAAUCAACUAACGGAGCUACUGCAUUUGUCGGAAUUCCAUUCUAACCCCUGGAUCAAAAUCUCACCUAUUAACCGGAACUCGCCAAAAUUCAAACUUAGCUAAUUCAAGCAUAAAUCUACACAGGACCUCCAAAUUAAAUUCUGAUUUCGCUCCCAAGUCAUAAAUCACCAUCCAAAACUAGUCAAAUUGCCGGAAAUCCGUUCCGAGCCUCUAACUCAUAAGUCAACAUUCUGUUGACUUUUUCAACUUAAACUUUCCUUAAAGAGACUAUUGGUCUCAUUUCUAUCCAAAUUCUAUCCGAAACACUUCAAAUUCAUCAACCACAUAUAGUGAAACUCGGGGAAGCAUAAAAUAGGGAAUUCGGGGCAAAAAUACAAGAGACGACGGGUCGUGUCGUCACAUUCAUCUGCCCUCAAAUAGGAUAUUUUGGGUUCAUCCGCCCUCGAAUAGUUUAUUAUUGGUUCAUCCGCCCUCAAGUAGGAUAUUAUGGGUUCAUCUGCCUUCGAAUAGGAUAUUUUAGGUUCAUCCUCCCUCGAAUAGGAUAUUUUGGCUUCAUCUUCCCUCAAAUAGGAUAUUUCGGGACUAUCCGCCCUCAAAUAGGAUAUUGAAUUUAAUCCUUCCUCAAAAGGGCAUUUAAUUUAUUUUGACCUGAGUGGUCCUGGUUGUAUAAAUAUUGCCAAAAUAUAUAUUUCACAAAUCAUUGCCAAAUGCAUUUUAUUUUCAAGUUGUUGUUGGAGUUAGGCGACCACCUGUAUAACAAGGGAAUACAUUUCAUGUCUUAGCAAUUAGGCGCCCACCUAUGUAACAAGGGAAUACAUUUCAUGUCUUAGCAAUUAGUCGCCCACCUGUAUAAUGAGAGAAUAUUUUUUCAGUCUUUACAUUUCAGGUCUUGAAAUCAGUAACCCACCGGAAGGCAGAAGGUUACCACAAAAAAAUCCCCAGUAUAAUGAAGGAAGCCCCAUCCUCAGGACAUAAAAAAUGAUGAAAACUGGUGUUCAGGAAAGAAAAAGGCCAGUGUCAUCCCCACCAGUUUUCAGAAGAAAGAAGCACCAGAAGAAGCACAAGCGGACGAACCCAAAAUAUUCUAUUCGAGGGCGGAAGAACCCAUAAUAUCCUAUUAAAGAGCGGAUGAACCCAUAAUAUCCUAUUUAAGGGCGGAUAGACCCAUCAUAUCCUAUUCGAGGGCGGAUAUACCCAUCAUACCCUAUUCGAGGGCGGAUAUACCCAUAAUAUCCUAGUCGAGGGCGGAUAGACCCAUCACAUCCUGUUCGAGGGUGGAUAUACCCAUCAUAUCCUACUUGAGGGAGGAUAUACCCAUAAUAUCCUAGUCGAGGGCGGAUAGACCCAGCAUAUCCUAUUCGAGGGUGGAUAUACCCAUCAUACCCUAUUCAAGGGCGGAUAUACCCAUAAUAUCCUAGUCGAGGGCGGAUAGAUCCAUCACAUCCUAUUCGAGGGCGGAUAUACCCAUCAUAUCCUAUUCGAGGGAGGAUAUACCCAUAAUAUCCUAGUCGAGGGUGGAUACAUCCAUCACAUCCUAUUUGAGGGUGGAUAGACCCACAAAUAUCCUAUUCGAGGGUAGAUAUACCCAUCAUACCCUAUUUGAGGGUGGAUAGACCCAUAAUAUCCUAUUCGAGCGCGGAUAGACCCAUAAUAUCCUAUUCGAGGGCGGAUAUACCCAUCAUAUCCUAUUCGAGGGAGGAUAGACCCAUAAUAUCCUAUUCGAGGGCGGAUAUACCCAUCAUAUCCUAUUCGAGGGCAGAUAGACCCAUAAUAUCCUAUUUGAGGGCAGAUAUACCCAUCAUAUCCUAUUCGAGGACGGAUAGACCCAUAAAUAUCCUAUUCGAGGGCGGAUAUACGCAUCAUAUCCUAUUCGAGGGCGGAUAUACCCAUAAUAUCCUAUUCGAGGGCGGAUAGGCUCAUCAUAUCCUAUUCGAGGGCGGAUAGACCCAAAAUAUCCUAUUCAAGGGCAGAUAGACCCAUCAUCAAAACUUGAAAUUUAAAGACCGAAAUAUAUUCCUCUAUUAUACGGGCGGGUUCCCGAUUUCGAGACUUAAAAUUAUCUUACCCCCGACUAUUUUUCUUAAAAAAAUGCAUUGUCUGGCUACCCUUUAAUAGUUGAAUUGCUUUCCUCGUUCCUCCGAGAAAAUUUUCGAAAAUGACAGAGAAUUUUCUGCCCCAUUUUUGGCAAUCUUCCUUGUGGUGUGUCUUUCUGCCAUUAAUAAUAUUUCCUUUUCCUGCUUCAAAUCAAAGAGAAUUUCAUUAGUUUAAAGUGUGGUGGUUGGUUGGGGAUGGUCUUUCCUUUUAUCCUUUCCUUGCUCUGCGUUCCAUCAUGCUAUCAAAACUUGCUGGGGAUGAUAUUAUUUGGUGGAGAUGACAUUGCUGGGGAAUAACUUUUCUUCCCAUGCUUUUCUACUUCCUUAAAAAAAUUUAUUAAGUGUUAUCAUCUGGGGAUAACAUUGUUGAGGAUAACACUGCUGGGGGAAUUUUAUUCCUUUAAAAUCAGUGCUUCAUUCUAUUCACUGGGGAUACAACUUCCUUCAUUAAAACUUGUUAUUCUAGAGAUAACACACCAUUAAAGACCAUUUUCCUUGAGGCUUAUCUUAUCUUACUUCUUCCCCAAGUGGAUACCUGAUUUCUCAAAAAUUUUCAAAAUGAAAGGAAAAUUUUCUGCCCCAGUUUGAUGAUCUUCCUUGUGGCACGCGUUUUCGCCAUCAAUGCCAUUUUCUUUUACCUGCUUCAAAUCAAAGAAUUCCUGACUCAUUCCACUUGGAUGUACUAGUCAGAUCUCGUCUUGCAUAAUUGGACAUCUGAUGGUAGAUUUUGAAAUCAUUUCUCACUUGUUCUGACCAAAAAGACUCUACUGGGGAAAUUUUUUAUGAAAGGAGAAAGAUAAAAGGGGACAAGAGGAAGAUCAGUAGGAAGCAAUGGCAGCAGACACACAGUGACAACAGUUCAACAACAUGGGAGUAACCCAGUAACAGCGGGAAUAGCAACAAAACCCAGGAGAUUACAACCAAGCGGAAAAACCAAAAAUUUCCAAACCAACCGAAAACCAACAUAAACCCAAGCAACACUACUUGAAUGCCAAUAGUAUUAGAAAACAAGUACAGACCAACAGAGAAAUAAUCAGUUGCCAAAAAUAGUCACUUCUGAUUUUUUUAACACUCGGGAAAAAGAAGCUAGAAGCUUCAAUGAACAAUAGCAGUUGAUGUUGAUUGUUAACAGUGAAGAAGAACAGAUUUUUCUUUAAUUUCUAACUUUCCAACACUCAAAAAUUCUUAAGAUUCAAAAGCCUUUUUAUCUUCCCUCCAGUUCUGAAAUUUCUCUCCCCAAAAUUCAGUCCCCUUUUAAGUGUUAAAUGAGUUCUAUUAUAUACCCAAAGCAAGUCUCUUUCCUCUAUUCUUUUAACUAUUAAAUCUUACUUUUAAACAAUUAUUACUAACAAAUUUACCUUUUUACUUUCCAGCUCAUAUUCUUCUAACUAUGUGACUUUUUAACCUUUUAUUAUUACAUAUACUAUUUCUAAUUUUAAUUAAGUAAAAAGUAAUCAAUACAGACCCCACAGUCCCACCCCUUUUCAGUGGUCAAAGAAUACCUUUUAUUAUUACCUCAUUUUUACUUUACAUCAUUAUGUCUUGUCCCGUACUAACCCUUGUCCCCUCUUAUUUUAACAAAAAGUUAUGGGAUCACAUUUAACCAAUUCCCAAAAUGCCCCUGAAAUUACUAAAAAUUACUAUUCUACCCCAUCAGCUAUAACCCAUUCACCGAAAUUAAUUAACCAAAAUAUAGCAGCUAUAACCAAUUCCUAAUCAAAUUCAAACUAUAUGAUGAACAACAAAGAACCAACUGAAAUAAUUUUGACUGAACAAUAUUUUUAACAACAAAUAUACUUUCAGAUUCAACAAUAAUAACAAGACUGAACAUAGAAAACAAGUAGAUUCAAAUCACUAAACUCAGAUUCAAAUUAAACCUAAAAAAAAAAAAUAAACAAAUUCAAAUCUCUAAACUCAAUAAUCAAUUGAACCUCAAACUAAAUCUAACAAUAUACAACCAAGAUGAAAGAUUCAAGUGAUUAAACUAACACACUUCUAUAUUAAAACUAAAUUCUUUUAAAUGAAUAAAAUAAGCUUGACGAAAUAAUCAAGAAAUGAUAAACAACGAACAAGAAAAGAAUCAAACAUAUACUGAUUUCAAAUUCGAGAAUAUCAAGAAAAAUAUGGACAGAAAUGAAACUUAAACCAAUUAACCGGAUCGGAACAACGACGAACUUGAGCGGAAACAAAUCUGCCCGGAAACUUGAACUAAACUCGGGAAGCAAAAUCGACGAACUCUAUGACAGUGAGUAGAAUUGUUCGUUCAAGGAGUUCUGAAGGGUUCCGUUAGGUCGACGGAACAGUAGGGGAUCUUUUGGGCACGUGAAAGCUGGUGCGCGUUGGGUUAUCGACUGGGCUUUGGUGCAGCAACGGGGAGGCUGCUGCUACUGGUUGCUCAAGACGUGAGGGGGGUGAUACAGAAGCAGACUGGUUUGGUUGCUUGGACGUCGGCAGUAGCGGGGAAAGGGCUGUUCGUGGUGGAUGUUGGAACGAUGGGGAUGAGAGUUGGACGUGAGGUCGUUUGGUGAGUUGAAGGAGAUGAUAAGAUGAAGCAGCAACAAUGGAUGUUGCUUCUGGUUGGCGAUGAUGGAGGGGUCGUUUGGACGCGGAUCGAUGGGGCUGGAGGGUGUUUGUUUGGUUGUUCAUUGCUGUGGAGGGUCGUCUCGGGUGGUUUCAGGUUGAUAAGAAGACAAAAAAAGGGGCAUCGGGGUGGUCGGGUUCGUGGGGUGCUGUGGGGUUGGUCGAAGAAUAUGAGUAAGGGGGGAGGGGUUGUGCUCUUGCGACUGAAGAAGAAUGGUU